rnacentral:rRNA from 1 species
CUCGCCCGGGAACUACAAGCUCAAGCUUAAAACCCAAAGGACUUGGCGGUGCUUUAGACCCACCUAGAGGAGCCUGUUCUAGAACCGAUAAUCCCCGUUCAACCUCACCCUCCCUUGCUUAACCCGCCUAUAUACCGCCGUCGUCAGCUUACCCCGUGAGGGCUUCACAGUAAGCAAAAUUGGCACAGCCCAAAACGUCAGGUCGAGGUGUAGCGCAUGAGAGGGAAAGAAAUGGGCUACAUUUACUGAAACAGUAAACCACGAAUAAUGUUUUGAAACAAACAUUUGAAGGAGGAUUUAGCAGUAAGGAAGACCUAGAGCAUUUUCCUGAAACUGGCCCUGAAGCGCGCACACACCGCCCGUCACUCUCCCCAAGCUAAUAGCUUAAUGUAAAUAAAACAACAAAACUGCAAAGGGGAGGCAAGUCGUAACAUGGUAAGUGUACCGGAAGGUGUACUUGGCAAAAU